UGGCCAUAUCAGCACUAACUUAUUCUUCUCUUUAGUCACAAUAGUAGUCUCACAUUUCUUCAAAACACAUUAUACCGUACUGAGCCACAUGAUAUCAACAAUGGGAUAAAUUACACCAUCAUCCAACCACUUGAUUAUCUCUUUCUUCAUCACCUCCUACAUAAGAGUAUUCAGUCAAUACUGAUAUUCUAAACUUAGAAUACACUUCGGUUUAAGUUGAAUUUUAUGAUUACACAACCUAGGUUA
rnacentral:lncRNA from 1 species